AAAUUAUUGAAACAAAAACAAUUUAGCUGUCUACAAAAAUCCAAAAAAAAGAUAGUGUGUUCUUAAAAGCAAAGUAUAAUAGUUGUUGUUGGUGCGCGUAUAAAUUUCAAAAUGUUUGAAAAAUAUUCGAUGAAAAAGUGCUCGACGCAAAUUGAACAGCAUGAAGAUGAAAAAACUGAGCGAAAUAUUUUGAAAAUUAUAUUCUUGGCAGUGCUCUACAUUUCGGUUGAGCUUCAUUAAUUGAAAACAUUAGAAAAGAAACUGAAAAUAAUAUUAUAUUAUGUAAAUAACGGAUACUGAGUGAGACAUAUAUUAAUAAAACUGAAGAGCCGCGCGUGAAAAUCAGCUGACUUAAAAGAUUACGGUUGGAUUUUUGUGUUUUUAGUUUUUCCAGUGUUUUCUUCGGUCUUUAUUAUUUGUGCGUUAAGCGCAGCGCGACAUUUGGCACCUGUUCAGCAAGUUUUUAAAAAGCGUUUAAAAAAUCAUUUCAAGCUAUUUAUGCAAACGAGUGAGACCCACAUAGAGAGAGAGAUAGAGAGGAGGAGAGAGCGAGCGAGAGAGGGGCAGGAGGUGUAACUAAGCAGCCGUUGACCUAAUUCUGUUAAAACUGAACUCAACUCAAGCAGAAGGCCACUUCAGGACCUUGGGCUGUCUCAACAUUGAAAAGCCGUACAGGAUAAGCAAGGCAAGGCCAAAUAACAGCAACGCACAAUCAGAUCACAGCAAGGCGGUUUCAAGAAACAUCCCAACGGAUUCAACAGACAUCUAACUACCUAUAUGUAUUGUCCUAUGUAGCUAUCAAAAUACGCAGAAAAAAUACUUAUUAAACUUAUAGUAGAGCAGCACUAACGACCAGCAGAAGCUGUGAGCACAAAAUAUUUAUUAAGCUGACCGCAAAUAGCGCUUUAUUAAGCAUACGCUACGUUAGCCAGCAGCCGGGACAGAGAAGCGGACGGGCAAGCGCACAUCAAAUUAGUAAUCAAGCAUCACAAAAGCAACGCCGAGGGGCACGCUGUAUACGGUUCACGGCGUAAGCCUAAGCUCACCCGUGGUCUGCUGCCUGGCAGCUCAAUGCGGAGCAUACGAAACUAAUAAGACGACGACUUUAUUUUUAUUGAAAUUAUGAUUAAUGACAGGAAUAUUGCAAGACGGCGAAGAGGAAUCAGCGCGAAUUAAGGGCGAAAGCCCAUGACUAUGAUGAUGCUGACAAUGAUGGUCAUCAAGUUA